rnacentral:misc_RNA from 1 species
AACCUAGCACACCUGCGGUGUGUACCUGCGGAAGGAUCAUUAAAAAACUUUUGCUCGCGACCUUUGCGUCCAAGGCAAAAUCCACACUGUGUGCACCGUUAUUGUUUCUUUGGCAGGGGCUUGGACCUCCUCAUCGAGAUCCAACUUUUUAUCUGGCUCCAUCCUCCUUCGGGGGGACAGCCGGACAUGAGAAGCCGUACCCUGCCAAUUGACCCCUAAUCACACUUUUUUUGUCUGAAA